AAUUCAGCUGAAUGAGAUUAAACACCUCCCAGGAUUGCUCUUGGCUUCUUUGUGGUGGUUGUCACCUUUUACCCAUCUGAGCUGCAGGACUACAAAAUCAUUAUCCCUUCGAUUCUGCUGUUCUGCAUGCCAGCAUUUUGCUUUUUCCUUGUUCCUCUGCACCAAUCAGCCAGGAUCACCUGGAACUUAUUCCCUUGCUCCCAGUUGUACCUCUACAUGCCACCAUGCUGUUAGCGUGUUUGCAUUGGUACAGCACCCGGAUUCUUACUGGAGGGAAUAUUUGAACAAUUACGGGUCUGUUCACAGCCCCGUUCUGGCCUGGGGCUAAGCCAGGGGGUUGUUUGAGGACGGUGGUGUUUGGAGCCUGCCAGCUGACUGGUACCAGUGGGAUCAUACUGGAACAGACGGAAAGACCAGCAAGCCUAGAGGACAACGUAACAGCUGAGAAGCUCCCCCUGCACCCAGAGUAAAAACUGAGGAGUUUUUAGUGUUUUGAUACACCUUACACACCAGACGGCACAAGUCCAAGCUCCACCAGGAGAUCUCCCUCUCCUCAGCUGUCCCACUUCUAGGGACAUUCAUGGGGACCAAAGAGCUGGCAGUGCCUGAGCACUGGUUGGGAAAGGGGACUGUGUGUGCCUGAGUGGCCUGGAAAGUUGGACAUGGGUCCAGAUGUCACAGCAAAUAGGUUUGGAGCCUCUUGCAUGAGGGUGGGUUGUCACAGCUUCCCAACUCCAGGAGAGCAAUGAUCCCAGCUCUUGUGGCCGGCACAUCUUCAGAACACAUUUGAUGACAUUUUUGUCAGUUUUUAAGCAACGUGGACUACUUUAAAUGGGGAAAACAAACAAACAAACAAAAAAGAGUUUUUUGGGAAACGAACAAACAAAGAGUUUUUUGGGUACCAUUGGGGUCACUCUCUUCUUCUCCCCCAACACCCACUUUUCCUUCUUCAAUUAAAAUAAAGGAAAAAACAUACCAUUUAAACUUUGCCUA
rnacentral:lncRNA from 1 species